rnacentral:rRNA from 1 species
UAACACAUGCAAGUCGAGCGGAAACGACAUUAUUGAAUCUUCGGAGGAUUUAAUGGGCGUCGAGCGGCGGACGGGUGAGUAAUGCCUAGGAAAUUGCCUUGAUGUGGGGGAUAACCAUUGGAAACGAUGGCUAAUACCGCAUAAUGCCUACGGGCCAAAGAGGGGGAUCUUCGGACCUCUCGCGUCAAGAUAUGCCUAGGUGGGAUUAGCUAGUUGGUGAGGUAAUGGCUCACCAAGGCGACGAUCCCUAGCUGGUCUGAGAGGAUGAUCAGCCACACUGGAACUGAGACACGGUCCAGACUCCUACGGGAGGCAGCAGUGGGGAAUAUUGCACAAUGGGCGAAAGCCUGAUGCAGCCAUGCCGCGUGUAUGAAGAAGGCCUUCGGGUUGUAAAGUACUUUCAGUUGUGAGGAAGGGGGUAACGUUAAUAGCGUUAUCUCUUGACGUUAGCAACAGAAGAAGCACCGGCUAACUCCGUGCCAGCAGCCGCGGUAAUACGGAGGGUGCGAGCGUUAAUCGGAAUUACUGGGCGUAAA